rnacentral:lncRNA from 1 species
UUAUAAAAAUAUAACAUAUAAUACACUAUUUUUAGAGAUAGAUACAGUAUAGAUUAUUAAUACAACCACGAUCAAAUAUUAUAUAAUAUUUUAGGCCGUGAGAAUUAAUUUAAGAUCGAGCAAGUGCAGGGUGCAGCAAAACUAGCACUCAAUAAUACUGUAUAAGUUUUUCAAAACAAUAAUCUUCUAAGCGAGGAAAAGAAAUCUGUAUAAUUUUAUUUGUUUGAAAAUUAUUAUUUUUUAAUUACGAAAGCCA